AUUGAACGCUGGCGGCAGGCUUAACACAUGCAAGUCGAGCGGGGGAAGGUAGCUUGCUACCGGACCUAGCGGCGGACGGGUGAGUAAUGCUUAGGAAUCUGCCUAUUAGUGGGGGACAACAUCUCGAACGGGAUGCUAAUACCGCAUACGUCCUACGGGAGAAAGCAGGGGAUCUUCGGACCUUGCGCUAAUAGAUGAGCCUACGUCGGAUUAGCUAGUUGGUGGGGUAAAGGCCUACCAAGGCGACGAUCUGUAGCGGGUCUGAGAGGAUGAUCCGCCACACUGGGACUGAGACACGGCCCAGACUCCUACGGGAGGCAGCAGUGGGGAAUAUUGGACAAUGGGGGGAACCCUGAUCCAGCUAUGCCGCGUGUGUGAAGAAGGCCUUAUGGUUGUAAAGCACUUUAAGCGAGGAGGAGGCUACUUUAGUUAAUACCUAGAGAUAGUGGACGUUACUCGCAGAAUAAGCACCGGCUAACUCUGUGCCAGCCGCCGCCGUAA
rnacentral:rRNA from 1 species